CGUGAGUGCCGCUCGGCCGCGCCCCAAGCCGGGCGCCACCAUGUUCGUGAGUGCAUGGGCCUGCUCGCCCCUUCCACGCAAGCCUGGGGUCUGCUCGCCUGCUCAGGCGCCGUCCAAGCAAGUGGAUCCCUCUGAUUUUUUUUGUUCCCCAUUCGAUUCAAGCCAUUUUACUUCACUUGCACCUCUACUGGAUGCAAAAUCCGUCACGAUUUCUUCUCAAAUGUGCAGUACACGACUAGAAUCUAUGGUCUUUGCUUGGUCAGAGAAUUGCAGAUCUUUUUCCCCUCAGUCUUUCCCCCUCUGAUAUGUCGCCCAGUUGGAUUCAUUUGUGCCGCUGUGGUAAAGAAAUGAAGAAAAACCUUUCCUUAAAUCCUUGUAUGCAUGAAGGAAAACUAAAGGUUUUCUUUACGAAGUGGAUCUUUUAAUUACUGCAUUUGAGAGCGAAACUGAAACUGUAGUACAUGCAAGAGGAUUAAAUUUGAGCUUGUCCCCAUGAGUUUUGGAUGGAGAGCGGAAGUGAUAGGCAUAACUAUAUCUUAGAAUUGAUCCCUGCAUGACCAGGGGACCAAAGCAUAAACCAUGAUCAUUUCUUAAUUUUCUACUUGUUCAUUUUUUGAGUUCUUAAUCUUUCAUAUGCAUAGCCUGACUACUGACUUAUGAUUGAAUUUUACAGUUUCGAGACUGAACUCAUCACUAAGCUCCAAACUAGGGGUCUUGCAAUGAAAAAUCAUGGAGUAUGCUAUCCUUGGUUCUCGUUACUAUUAUUUUUCUGCUACAACACCAUACCAGCUUUCAUGCACACUACCAUGAGUACCAGUCCACCAGCUCUUUUAUUUGUCAAACCAGGAGUACGUCUCAACAACACAAGCAAAAAAUUAUUCAAUCAUUUCCACGCAGUGGCAUCCCGAGGUUGCAUUACUACAGAGCAAGCUGAGCGUGAAAACCUGUGUGAUCUAUUGUUGGUGUUGCAGGUCCUGUUGGUGCUCUGGAACAUUUGCUACUUUGCUUCUGGAAUCAAAUUGCUACUUGUAUCAUGUGCUUUGAUUUUUGGUGGUGUAGGUCUUGCUGGUGUAUUUUGGGCUGUUGUAUCUCUUUUCAAUGUAAACAUGAGAUUGUAUCACUUAUUUUGGGCCGCUAAAAUUUGAUAUGUAUUUUGGCUUGUACUGAUCAUUCUGGUGUAUGGUAUGAGAAAUUGGAUUAAUUUA